UACGGGGGGGGCAAGCGUUGUUCGGAAUUACUGGGCGUAAAGGGCUCGUAGGCGGCCAACUAAGUCAGACGUGAAAUCCCUCGGCUUAACCGGGGAACUGCGUCUGAUACUGGAUGGCUUGAGUUCGGGAGAGGGAUGCGGAAUUCCUGGUGUAGCGGUGAAAUGCGCAGAUAUCAGGAGGAACACCGGUGGCGAAGGCGGAUCUCUGGGCCUUACCUGACGCUGAGGCGCGAAAGCUAGGGGAGCAAACAGG
rnacentral:rRNA from 1 species